AGCCCCUUAGGCUACGUUUUCCCCAAAUGGGGUGACUUUUAGCUACAAGUAUGUCAUACAAGCUACUGAGUAUUCAUUGGCUUGUUGAUCCUUCUCCUCCCAGAGAUGGUCACUAUUUUCUCUUGCCUCUGUCUUUUGUCUCAUUUGUCAUAAAAAGGAAAAACCACAGGGCAAGCUGCAGGCAUCAUCAUAAACCUGUUGUCUGGAUGGGCCCUCAGUAAACUUUUCUGUAGGUUAAGUGUGUGCAUAAGGUGAAAGCUAUUGCUAAGGGGCCUCUUGGAAGCCAAAAAAGGCGCAAAAUUGGUGGGCACAGGUUGAGCAGUUAAGAGCCAUUAGGGCACUCACCACCUUAAGAAGACUUCCUGUGAUAGGAUAAGUUGGUUACAGAAAGGGGUAGAUGAUGACAGGUCUCCUGCCAACCUCAAGAAAAUGUGCAAUGAGGUACUCAGUAAAGCACACACGAUCCCCAACACUGUGGCACCUCUCUGCCUAGGUAUGAGUCUGGCUCCAAGAGACCCAAAGCAUAGCUGAAGGUCCUAAUGUGCAUAGAAGAUGAACGGGUUUUUUUUCUUUUGUCUUGUUCUAUGUCUUAAGAUCCUGGCUUUGUGACCUGUUUGGUCUCUGCCAUCUGGAGGAUGCACAUACUGACAUGCAUGUUGGUGGGUAGUUGGCCAGGGGUUCCAAGAUGUACUGUAUUUGCCCAGCUAUUUCAUCUCUCAGGGAAGUGUGUCAUGAGGAGUCCUAGUCCACUGGGGGCCUUUGUCAUCUCAGCCUUCAUUGCUUGUCAAUGCACUACACCUGUGCAGCAGAAGCCUUUACUGUCUUGGAUUAUUUUUGAGAGUGAACUGUCUGGAUCUUGUGAGAGCUGCUUCUUUUUCGCUCUCUUUUGGGAACACUAUGGCAUCUGUAGUUAAGACAUAAAUGCUUAUUGGUUUGAGUCACUAUUAAGGUCCUACUUGUCAAUGGUCAGAGGGUAGAUCCUUAAAUUGGAAAAAGUUCUAAAUUGGAAAAAUGUAACUGAAAAGGUGGUUCAAAGUUGACUUGUCCUUUUCCAAUCCCAAAGCCUCCCCUGUUCCUCUCAAAAUGCUCCUGGAUAUUGGGGUGUUAGAAACUGAUAAGGUAAAUAUGCCCCAGAAACUGCAUCUUGGAGAAAACUUAAGUGGUUUCUCUCUGCCUUUGUGACGCAUUUGGACAAGUACAUCCACCUAUAAUGUCAUUUAAGUUGCAAACUAAUUUCUGAGGAAUUAGAGUAACUGUCCUUAAAAAAAUCCUUACAAGACUAGAAAUGCACUUUUAGAGGCAGUUCAGAUUCCACCCAUUUCCCUUAUCUCAAAGAACUUGCAAACUCUCCAGGGAAUAUCUAGCCCAUCACUUAUUUCUAGGACUGAGAAAAAAAAGAAAAAG
rnacentral:lncRNA from 1 species